GGGAACGACCGGACGGCCCGGACGUCGGUGGAGUCGUGAUUAUUGGGUCUAAGGGUCCGGUAGCCGGUUGGUCAGUCCUCCGGGAAAUCUGAUAGCUCAACUAUUAGGCUUUCGGGGGAGUACUGCCAGACUUGGAACCGGGAGAGGUAAGAGGUACUACAGGGGUAGGAGUGAAAUCUUGUAAUCCCUGUGGGACCACCUGUGGCGAAGGCGUCUUACCAGAACGGGUUCGACGGUGAGGGACGAAAGCUGGGGGCACGAACCGGAUUAGAUACCCGGGUAGUCCCAGCCGUAAACGAUGCUCGCUAGGUGUCAGGCAUGGCGCGACCGUGUCUGGUGCCGCAGGGAAGCCGUGAAGCGAGCCACCUGGGAAGUACGGCCGCAAGGCUGAAACUUAAAGGAAUUGGCGGGGGAGCACAACAACGGGUGGAGCCCUGCGGUUUAAUUGGACUCAACGCCGGACAACUCACCGGGGGCGACAGCAAUAUGUAGGCCAAGCUGAAGACUUUGCCUGAAUCGCUGAGAAGUGGUGCAUGG
rnacentral:rRNA from 1 species